rnacentral:tRNA from 1 species
GCCCGGAUGGCGGAACAGGUAGACGCAAGGGACUUAAAAUCCCUCGGUAUAAUAUACCGUGCCGGUUCGAUUCCGGCUCCGGGCACCA